GACGAACGCUGGCGGCGUGCCUAAUACAUGCAAGUCGAACGAGUGGCGGACGGGUGAGUAACACGUGGGAACCUACCCAUCAGAGGGGGAUAACACUUGGAAACAGGUGCUAAUACCGCAUACGGAUGGAUGGACCCGCUGUGCAUUAGCUAGUUGGUGAGGUCACGGCUCACCUAGGCGACGAGCUCUAGCUGGUCGGAGAGGAUUAUCAGCCACACUGUGACUGAGACACGGUCCAGACGCCUACGGGAGGCAGCAGUGGGGAAUAUUGCACAAUGGGCGCAAGCCUGAUGCAGCCAUGCCGCGUGUAUGAAGAAGGCCUUAGGGUUGUAAAGUACUUUCAGCGGGGAGGCGUUACCCGCAGAAGAAGCACCGGCUAACUCCGUGCCAGCAGCCGCGGUAAUUC
rnacentral:rRNA from 1 species